rnacentral:rRNA from 1 species
GGUUAAGUUAGAAAGGGCGCACGGUGGAUGCCUUGGCACUAGGAGCCGAAGAAGGACGGGACUAACACCGAUAUGCUUUGGGGAGCUGUACGUAAGCGUUGAUCCAGAGAUUUCCGAAUGGGGGAACCCACUAUCUUUAGUCGGAUAGUAUCCUUACGUGAAUACAUAGCGUGAGGAAGGCAGACCCAGGGAACUGAAACAUCUAAGUACCUGGAGGAAGAGAAAGAAAAAUCGAUUUCCUGAGUAGCGGCGAGCGAAACGGAAAGAGCCCAAACCAAGAAGCUUGCUUCUUGGGGUUGUAGGACACUCUAUACGGAGUUACAAAAGAAAGUUA